rnacentral:rRNA from 1 species
GACGAACCGUGCGAACGUUGUUCGGAAUCACUGGGCUUAAAGGGCGCGUAGGCGGGCAGUCAAGUCAGAGGUGAAAGCCCACGGCUCAACCGUGGAAGUGCCCCUGAUACUGAUUGUCUCGAGGGAGGUAGGGGCGUGCGGAACUUCCGGUGGAGCGGUGAAAUGCGUAGAUAUCGGAAGGAACACCGGUGGCGAAAAGUGGCGCGCUGGACCUCUACUGACGCUGAGGAGCGAAAGCCAGGGGAGCAAACAGG